rnacentral:rRNA from 1 species
AAUGAACGUUGGCGGCGUGGAUUAGGCAUGCAAGUCGAGCGAGAACCCAGCAAUGGGGGACAGCGGCGCAAGGGACAGUAAUGUGUAGAUUAUCUGCCCUCAGGACCGGGAUAGCUGCGGGAAACUGCAGGUAAUACCGGAUAACAUCUCCGGAUCAAAGGUGUGAUUCCGCCUGAGGAUGAGUCUACAUCCUAUUAGCUAGUUGGCAGGGUAAUGGCCUACCAAGGCGAUGAUGGGUAGCGGGUGUGAGAGCACGACCCGCGUCAUUGGGACUGAGACACUGCCCAGACACCUACGGGUGGCUGCAGUCGAGAAUCUUCGGCAAUGGGCGCAAGCCUGACCGAGCGACGCCGCGUGUGGGAUGAAGGCCUUCGGGUUGUAAACCACUGUUAGAGGGGAUGAAAUGCAGGUGGGUUCUCCCAUCUGUUUGACAUAGCCUCAGAGGAAGGACGGGCUAAGUUCGUGCCAGCAGCCGCGGUAAGAC